GCCGAAGUGGCGGAACUGGCAGACGCGACGGUCUCAAACACCGUUGGGGUAACACCCGUGUGGGUUCGAAUCCCACCUUCGGCACCA
rnacentral:tRNA from 1 species